rnacentral:tRNA from 2 species
GGGGCCGUAGCUCAGUAGGAUAGAGCAUUAGAUUCCUAAUCUGGAGGUCGUGCGUUCAAAUCGCACCGGUCCCAUUA